GAACCGGGGCGCGCCUGAAAGUGGGCGGGCUGGGACUCAGGCGCCGGCUGUGAGGUUUAAGCUGCCUGGUUCCUUCCGCCUUUGUUUACUAGGUGAGCCGCUUCAAAACAGGUGACGUUUCUAAUUCCCUGUCACUCGGAGAGGCCAGGGACUGCCAGGUGGACCCCGAGGCCUGAUUUUCCCUGUCUUCACAGAGAAGAGCGAUGUUGCCUCCAAGUGCGGCCCCGGAUCCUGGCAGGGCUAGCCGGUGCCUCUGGACGAGGCCUUGGUGUUCGUCGUCCGUUCCCUCCCUGACUGUGUGCUCUAGCUCCGUAGUUCGUGACUUCUUCCUGCUUGAUUGCUGAACUGCAAGUGGCCACGUUACAAAAGGAAGAACUAAGUGUUUGUGAAAGCUGAUGCCCCAGAAGGCUCAGGCAGUAUUUGAGAUGUCUGAUGACUCCCCAUUUUCAUCAACACUUGGCGUGAUUAGUCUUCUCAGUCAGCAGUUCUAAUAGGAAAUUCCCUGGCAGUCCAGUGGUUAGAAGUUGGCACUUUCACUGCCAUGGCCCUGGUUCAAUCCUCGGUGGAGAAAUAAGAUUCCUCAAGCCACGAAGAGUGGCCAAAAACAAAAAACGAACAAUUUCUUGGCUCCUCCCUUACUUCUUCAGAACAGUCCCCUCGGAGCUAUCCGAGAGGCUGUAUGCCAGUCUUAAGUCCUCAGUAAGUCCUCUGAAUAAAUUGUGAUUCUCAA